rnacentral:misc_RNA from 1 species
GAUGAAGAACGUAGUGAAAUGCGAUAAGUAAUGUGAAUUGCAGAAUUCAGUGAAUCAUCGAAUCUUUGAACGCACAUUGCGCCCGUCAGUAUUCUGGCGGGCAUGCCUGUUCGAGCGUCAUUACGCCCCUCAAGUCCCCUGUGGACUUGGUGUUGGGGAUCGGCGAGGCUGGUUUUCCAGCACAGCCGUCCCUUAAAUUAAUUGGCGGUCUCGCCGUGGCCCUCCUCUGCGCAGUAGUAAAACACUCGCAACAGGAGCCCGGCGCGGUCCACUGCCGUAAAACCCCCCAACUUUUUAUAGUUGACCUCGAAUCAGGUAGGACUAUCCGCUGAACUUAAGCAUAUCAAUAAGCGGAGGA